GAUGAGAACGCAGCGAAAUGCGAUAAGUAAUGUGAAUUGCAGAAUUCAGUGAAUCAUCGAAUCUUUGAACGCACAUUGCGCCCCCUGGUAUUCCGGGGGGCAUGCCUGUCCGAGCGUCAUUACAACCCUCAAGCUCAGCUUGGUGUUGGGCCCCGCCGCCCCGGCGGGCCCUAAAGUCAGUGGCGGUGCCGUCCGGCUCCGAGCGUAGUAAUUCUUCUCGCUCUGGAGGUCCGGUCGUGUGCUCGCCAGCAACCCCCAAUUUUUUUCAGGUUGACCUCGGAUCAGGUAGGGAUACCCGCUGAACUUAAGCAUAUCAAUAAGCGGAGGA
rnacentral:misc_RNA from 1 species